AGAGAACUAUUAGUACAGAAUGAUUGAAGAUGACUCUCAAGAAUGAAUUGACAUGUUGGAUGGAUCAACACAAGACUGAAGUUUCAAACCAUCUCUUAUGCUGGGCAUUCUUAACUGACUACAAGUUUAUAACUUUCUGAUAAAGAAAUGGAUAUGAGAAUGCAAAUGAAACUACAGGUGUGUUAUAAAAUUCUAUACUACUGUGGUAAGAAAAAGGACUGAUUCAUGGGUAA